GGGACUUGUUUUGGUUUGACGAUGGAUGUUACUUCAUUAGUAUUACCAUACUUCUGGACUUCAUUUUUUGUUGGUUUGACUAUCGUUAUCGCUAUCCAUAAUUUUUAUUGAUGAAUGUUCCGGUUCUAGUUUCAGUUCAACAUUCUACCAAAAUAAUUCCUAUUUUCAUAAAGAAAUUUCAUAUAUUGGUUCACAUUAGUCUUCCAUAUAUUUGCUCUGACAUACUCAAUACUCCUGCACCAGUUUUCCUUUCCUUUUUAAUUUUAAUUUCUAUUUUUAGUUAUACAUACUAAAUAGUUUAAUUAUGCAACUCACAUCAGUGUCAUACUAAAUGACCUAGUGGGUUACAUUCAGCAAAUACUUUGCAUGUUGCAAUUUGUUUCACCUUGAUCUGCAAGGAUCAUCUUCUAUAUAAGCUUCAGAGGC
rnacentral:lncRNA from 1 species